ACACACGUGCAGCCCAGGACGUCAGAUGAAUUCAAACCAACUAACUGCUAGAUGGUGAAACUGGUCUUGAAAAUCAGGAUCAGCCCUUCCCCCUGGCGUUGAAGACUGAACACCCCAGAAAUGCCAAGUCGCCCCAUCUUCCUGACCCAAUCACUCAUUCUCUGCACUGACUGCCUUUUGCCUGGGUCUCAAUCCCCCCUCUGAUAAGGGAACCCUUACGCUGUAAGAGGAAAUGGACAAUGACCACUCUGGCUGCUUCAGCCGAGAGGGAGUGACAUCAAGGCCAGGUUUGCAUGCAGAAAGUUAUGAGACAUCAUCUGCCAUCAAUACUUUUGAGGACGAGGCUCACCUCUGAACAACAUGAAAAUGAACAACAUGGAGAGAGCAGAUACACUGAGGAACUGUCUCUUUGACUAGGGGACAUCUCCCUGAUGCUGGAGCCUCUGGUGGUCAGCAGCUUCCGCCCCUCCUUCCAUGCAUCACCUCUGGAUUUAACGGUUUGCCUUACCAGUCUGAUCAUAACCCAUGUGCUUUCUCAUGAGCGACCAUGAAAAUAUGCAAGGCUCUGGAUUACCCACCCUUACCAUGUGACCUGUAAUUCCAGGAAGAAUGUGGGGCCCCUUUUUGUAAUGAAUCUUGGUCUGUGUUGAGCCUCUCAUUAGAUAAUGAACUUUGUGGGGGGGGUUGGGGCCUCACCUGGAAUGAAGGCUCAUAGUUGAAUCUAAUUUACAUUUUUG